UUCCAGGAAUGUAGGUACUACCGUUCUAUUCCGUGAACAUCUAUCUGAUUAAAUUAUGGGUGGAAAGUUACCACAAGAUAUUCUAUGAACAUAGUACAAUGUCUUCCUGGAGGGGUAAAAUUUUCCAUUACAAGAUUUUAAGAGAGGCCAUUUACUAUUCAAUUUGCGUUCAUUUUCAAAUUUGCCGCGCGAGUAUCUAUGUAGCGUCGCGUGGUCAUUGGUCAUCAAGUCAUCAAUUAUUUCAUUUUCAUCAUAAGAUAACCUAAAAAUUUGGUAAAAAUUUUGAUUGGAAAAAAAUGCAUCGAUAAGGGGGUGAAAAAUGGAAAUUAGUGGCUUUUUUUUGCUGUACUCAACUGUACUGUUUAGUAUGCUAGUUUUGGCUAUGGCUGGAUCUCUUAAACAAUUAUAAUCAGCUGAAAGUGGUCUACAAAAAACCAGAUAUAACCAAAAUAAAGAUAUAAAAAGUGUAUUUGCUAAUUGGAAGAAACUCAACAUUGUCCGUGCAUAAUCAGUUAUUACUUUAUAAACAAAUAUUAAGACCUAGGAAUGGAACCUGGAUAUAAUCAUCAAGAAGAUAGCAGGAAUCCCGACAAACAACUUAAAUAAGUACAAGGAUAUUGAGGAAAUCCAGCUCCUCGAUACUACUGGGCAAACUAGAAGAUUGAAGAGGACAAAGCCUUUUGAACUAUUAGUUUGAGUGAUAGGUGAUAGUGAAAAGCAGAGCAUAGUGCGUGAUGUGGCUGUGUAUGUUAGAAUAGUGCACGAUCUUGUUAGAUUAGAUAAGAGACGCUAUCGGGUAAGCUCUUCAUUUUAAGAAACAGUAGUAAUUUAGGUUAAAUUAAAAUUGCUCAUUGGUCAGUUAUGACCAGAUUGCUUUUUUUAUGUUUGGCAAAAAGGGCGUAAGUCAGAAUUGCACAUUGCUAAUGUUUUGAUGAUUUCUGGACCAGCAAAAAACUGUUGUAGACGUAAACUGUAUGUACCAAUAAAAAGAGCCGAUUUUUCUGGUCCAGAAAUCAUCAAAACAUUAUCGAUGUGCAUUUCUGACUUAAGCCCUUUUUCCCAAACAUCAGAGAAUUGUAAUGUACAAAUUCUCCUAUCUGAUUUUUCAUGAAUUUUGUAGGAGACGAAAAACCAUUUUUAGGAUCAUCUCCUGCUUUCACAUGUAAAUUUUGACAUGUCUUGUAGUAAAUAGAUAGUUGAAUUUACUACAAAACAUGUCAAAAAAUAUAUGAAAACAGGAGGUGACCAUAAAAAAAGUUUUUAGUCUCUCUUAAAAAACUCAUGAAAAAACAAAUCGGAGGUAUGUCACAUCAGUGACUAUAUCCAGGGAAUGUCUAAAAAAUAUACUUUGAUGUCCCAAGAACCAAAUAUAACCUUUAUAUAUAUAUACAGGGUGUAACAAAAAUACAGGUCAUAAAUUUAAUCACAUAUCCUGGGACCAAAAAUAGUUUGAUUGGACCUAACUUACCUUAGUACAAAUGUGCACAAAAGAAAAGUUACAGCCCUUUGAAGUUAUAUAUUAAUAGCACCAAGGGCCUUAGAGGCCCAUGGCUUGAAAAGUUUGUUUUUUUCUUCAUUUUCACGUUUCUUUAUGUACUGAGAUCUUCUCUGGCUUGAUAUGUGAUUUUUCUCCAUUCCUUCCUCUUAUUCAUUUUUCUUUUCUGACCCUGUAACACCAUUCUUUCCAAAUCUUUUUCGACCUCUUGCUUCCAUCUAUUUUCCGGUCUUCCUCUUCUCUUUCUUGAAGCUAUAGUGUAGUUUAGUACCCUUUUCGGAGUCCUCGUUUUUGGCAUCCUUUCAAUGUGACCUCGUGAUCUAAGUCUCUGUGCCUUUAUCACUCAUUUGAAGUUACAAAAUGAAAAGUGAUUUUUUCCAAUGUAUCGAAAACAAUAUGCUUUUGUGCAUGUUUCAAUUUAAUUAUUAUUGUAGUACCUACCAUUUAAACAACGUUUUAAAAACUUUUUUGCCUCUUAUUGCUUUUUCGAAAAGUCAAUUUUUAUCGAAAUAUUUUGAAUAUUUGUCAAAUCCACCACAUAUUUGUAUAUGGUUAAGUACGAUUAUGGAGACUUGGUAAUAAUAUGCAAACUUAUUUAUGCUUUACAUUUUUAGGUAUAUUUUGAACCAUAUUAAAAAAGAAGCCAGACUCGAUAAAACGUGCCUUAUCGAAAAAAUACAAAGAGGCAAAAAAGUUUUGAAAACACUCUGUUUAACUAAUGGUACCUCAGUAAUAGUUUAAUUGGAACAUACACAAACAUUUGGGGGGUUUAAAGGAACAAAACCCC
rnacentral:lncRNA from 1 species